rnacentral:rRNA from 1 species
AUUAAGUAAAGAUUUUAAGGGCGUACGGUGGAUGCCUUGGCGAUAUCAGCCGAAGAAGGACGCGGUAAGCUGCGAUAAGCUACGGAGAGAUGCAAGCAAUCUUUGACCCGUAGAUUUCCGAAUGGGGGAACCCGGCAGUGGUUAUGCACUGUCACCCAUAGCUUAGACUAUGAGGAGGGCACCUGGGGAACUGAAA